UUCCACUCUGUACAUCGUAACCCCCCAGGAGGAAAACGGUCGUACGUUUCCUCACGCUUUUAUUAGCAUUUAGGCCGUACGUUACCUGUAACGUAGGCAUUUAUUCGCCAUUAUUCCACCCCUGUGCACCAACCGUUGUGAAGGGCAGCGCACUCUAUAUAAGCCACCCUUCCCCACUGGUGCAAGGGUUAGCAACUCACUGUAUUCUAUAUUC
rnacentral:lncRNA from 1 species